rnacentral:rRNA from 1 species
UACGUAGGGUGCAAGCGUUGUCCGGAAUUAUUGGGCGUAAAGAGCUCGUAGGCGGUUCGUCGCGUCGGCUGUGAAAUCCCGAGGCUCAACCUCGGGUCUGCAGUCGAUACGGGCGGACUGGAGUACUGCAGGGGAGAGUGGAAUUCCUGGUGUAGCGGUGAAAUGCGCAGAUAUCAGGAAGAACACCCGUGGCGAAGGCGGCUCUCUGGGACGGUACUGACGCUGAGGCGCGAAAGCUAGGGGAGCGAACGGG